ACAUGAGAUAAUCAUAAUACGCAUAAAAUCAAAUACAUUAUUUACUUAGAAUGAAUAAUGUAUAAUUCUGAGGCUAACCAUACGUAGCGUCAGAAACAUCUAAUAAAAAGUUCGACCUUAGCGGCUGGUAAAUUUACAACUUUAAUUAUCAUCUUAGCUUAUUGUUCCCCGUCACCUGCGCUUAAGCAGCUAUAACAGGGGA
rnacentral:misc_RNA from 1 species